rnacentral:tRNA from 1 species
UGGGUUGUGGCUCAGCGGUAUGAGCACUCGCCUUGCAUGUGGGUGGUUCUGGGUUUGAUCCUCAGCACCACAU